CAAACUUUUGAUGGCGACCGGCGCACGGGUGAGUAACACGUAUCCAACCUGCCUCAUACUCGGGGAUAGCCUUUCGAAAGAAAGAUUAAUACCCGAUGUUAUAGUCCUACCGCAUGAUGGGAUUAUUAAAGAAUUUCGGUAUGGGAUGGGGAUGCGUUCCAUUAGUUAGUUGGCGGGGUAACGGCCCACUAAGACAACGAUGGAUAGGGGUUCUGAGAGGAAGGUCCCCCACAUUGGAACUGAGACACGGUCCAAACUCCUACGGGAGGCAGCAG
rnacentral:rRNA from 1 species